rnacentral:rRNA from 1 species
AUUGAACGCUGGCGGCAGGCUUAACACAUGCAAGUCGAGCGAGCGGCGGAAGGGUGAGUAAUGUCUGGGAAACUGCCUGAUGGAGGGGGAUAACUACUGGAAACGGUAGCUAAUACCGCAUACCAUCAGAUGUGCCCAGAUUGGAUUAGCUAGUAGGUGGGGUAAUGGCUCACCUAGGCGACGCUCCCUAGCUGGUCUGAGAGGCUGACCGGCCACACUGGAACUGAGACACGGUCCAGAGUCCUACGGGAGGCAGCAGUGGGGAAUAUUGCACAAUGGGCGCAAGCCUGAUGCAGCCAUGCCGCGUGUGUGAAGAAGGCCGUCGGGUUGUAAAGCACUGUCAGCGAGGAGGCGUUACUUGAAGAAGAAGCACCGGCUAACUCCGUGCCAGCAGCCGCGGUAAUUC